GACGAACGCUGGCGGCGUGCUUAACACAUGCAAGUCGAACGGAAAGGCCCUGCUUGCAGGGUACUCGAGUGGCGAACGGGUGAGUAACACGUGGGUGAUCUGCCCUGCACUUCGGGAUAAGCCUUGGAAACUGGGUCUAAUACCGGAUAGGAGCCAUUUUUAGUGUGAUGGUUGUAAAGUUUUUUCGGUGUAGGAUGAGCUCGCGGCCUAUCAGCUUGUUGGUGGGGUAAUGGCCUACCAAGGCGGCGACGGGUAGCCGGCCUGAGAGGGUGGACGGCCCCAUUGGGACUGAGAUACGGCCCCGACUCCUACGGGAGGCAGAAGUGGGGAAUAUUGCACAAUGGGCGCAAGCCUGAUGCAGCGACGACGCGUGGGGGAUGACGGACUUCGGGUUGUAAACUACUUUCGCUAGGGACGAAGCUAUUUGUGACGGUACCUAGAUAAGAAGCACCGGCUAACUACGUG
rnacentral:rRNA from 1 species